AUAGAUGCACUCCAAAUGCACCAUCAGUGCUCAGUAAACAUUUUAACCAAUUAAUAGUCCAUUCUAGGAAUCUCACCUUGACAAAAUGAGUAAAAUUUUCGGUUUUGUGUGCUUGAUUUUCAUUGCAUCGUUCCUGGUAUCGAUUGAGGGACUCUAUCGUGAUGAUAACUGCUUCAUUUUGCCGCCAUGGGGUGUCUGUGAAAGUGACGAUUUCUUGAAUUGUCAACGGGAAAUUCGAUUCAAUCUGUUCUGGCAAUACAUCAAAUGUUGCUGCACAUUGGCUUAAAAUUGAGAACUUUUGAAUGAAAAUUGUAAAUAAAUCGAAAAUUUGACUGAAUC